rnacentral:rRNA from 1 species
UACAGAGGUUCCAAGCGUUGUUCGGAUUUACUGGGCGUAAAGGGCGCGUAGGCGGUGUGGUAAGUCGGAUGUGAAAGCUCGGAGCUCAACUCCGAGAUGGCAUUGGAAACUACCUUGCUCGAGGGUUGGAGGGGGGACUGGAAUGCUUGGUGUAGCAGUGAAAUGCGUAGAUAUCAAGCGGAACACCAGUGGCGAAGGCGAGUCCCUGGACAACUCCUGACACUGAGGCGCGAAAGCUAGGGGAGCAAACAGG